GGCGAGUGGCGAACGGGUGAGUAAUGCAUCGGAACGUGCCCAAUCGUGGGGGAUAACGCAGCGAAAGCUGUGCUAAUACCGCAUACGAUCUACGGAUGAAAGCGGGGGACCGAAAGGCCUCGCGCUAUUGGAGCGGCCGAUGGCUGAUUAGCUAGUUGGUGGGGUAAAGGCCUACCAAGCCUACGAUCUAUAGCUGGUCUGAGAGGACGACCAGCCACACUGGAACUGAGACACGGUCCAGACUCC
rnacentral:rRNA from 1 species